UUAUUGUUCUCAAUUUAGAGAGAGAGCCACCGCGGCGAGAAAGGCUAUGACAGAAGAGAGGAGAGAGAGAAAAGAGAAGAGAGAGGAGAGAGUGAAAAGAGAAAGUAGGUGUGAUAAACGGGUGUGAGUGAGAGAUCUUAGGCGAAAAAAAUUAUAAAUCUUUCCCAUUAGUAAAAGUUGGAGAAAGAUGUAUGAUCAAUUUUCCUAGAACUAAAAUUAAAGAUUUAUAAAAGUUAAAUUUAUUAUUAUUUUCAUUAAUUUUCUCAAUUCUGUUUGGAAAAAUUACAAAUGAGUGUAUGUUUUCAAAAAUAAUUGUGUACUACUACAGUCUGUACUCCUCUCUUCGUCUCACUCACUCACUCUCUAUCUCUCUCGAUCUCUCCUCUCAGACACACAGUGACAGAGUUUGAAGAAGAUGUUAAGAAGAAGAGUUUCUGUUUCUUCGAUUAUUGGACGAAGAAGAAGAAGAAUUGCCGAUCAUAAUUGUCAAAAAGAUAUUGUGCUCUUUUGGUGUCUUUGGGUAUGAAUUUUUUAUCCAUGAGGCUUUGUAAAUGAGUUUUGAUUUUCUUUAAAGUUACAUGUUUUAGUUAUGGCCCAAACUAUAAAUUUUAUUUAGCUAUGUGAGGAAGAAGUGUUUUCAAAGUGCAUAGAUAUGUGGUUAUUCUUUUUCUUAUCCAUGUGUCUAUUCUUUUUCUCAAUUAAUAUUUUACAAUUUUUGUUUCCAUUUCACUCCCUGUUUUCUUUUUUGGAGGGGGCGUUGGGGUUGAUGGAAUCGUCCACUGAGCAUAAUAUUUAUAUACAUGCAUGGAGUAGUCCAGAGCCACCACGGAUUUUUUUUGCUAGUUUAUAUAUUUCCCUUUUAUUUGUAUUGUACUUUUUAUAAGGGUUUUGCCAUGCCCAAUCUUUUCAAAUAUGACAUAUUUCGAUUUAUAGCUUCAACAGGGGUUUCUCACACAUAUUAUUUUAUACACUUUCAAAAAAAAAAUGUUCUGAAAAUUUGUCUUCUUAUUAACUCUUCAAUUUCAAAUACUCCUUUUAUUUGUCUGUCCACAGGCUGGUUAAUAAUAAAAAAUAUAUUAUUUAUUCAGUCUUACCAGAGUGUAUAUACAUUUUUGUUCUUCACAUUUAUUCAUUCUCAAAAUGCUUAAACCUUGGAUCUUGCUAUCAGUAAAGAUGCAGAAGAUUUCUUGCGACCUUAAAUUUCUUUUUCCUGGCAAUGCUAUCUGACACAUUUGUACCUAUGUUGUUGCAAUCAGAUGCACCUUCCUCUAAACAGUUUAUCCAUGCAUUUUUGCAGGCCAAUAAUGUGGCAAUUUUGUCAUUUCUUUUGCAUGAGAUAAGUAGCAACUAAAGUUGAUUUGUUCACACCGGAUGUGCACAUGGAUUUUAGAGUUGGUUUUCACAAUUGGCUAAAUCAUUGAAUGACACAAGUUUUAAAUUUGGUACAACAGUUGGAAGGAGAAGGCAUAAAUUUUGAUGUACUAUUUGAAAUCUUUUGGUGUUCAAAAACAAAACCAAGAUAAUUUCAUGAUGUAUCAUGAUGAAAUAUUUCCAGAUAGUAAAAUACUAGGGCUUACUCAAAGUAUACAUGAAUGAACAAACAGAAAACCUCAACCACAAAUUAUACAACAAAAGGUUAAAAGCAAUAAAAAAAAAAAUACAUAUAUAUUUCAGCCAUAGAAAAUAUUAUUUCACAUUCUUUUCCCAAUUCAAUUAUUGAUCCUCAAUAGUUGUACUCAUCUACAGGUAGUUAUGAAGGGCGCAUACUCAGUAUCAAAAUGAGAGAAUGGAAUUAGAACAAACUAUGUGGGAUACUAAGCUUGGGGAUUUCAGAUUUUCUGGAAAACAAACUCCAAAAUAUAUUUCUUCAUCCACUACUAAUAAUUCUCUCUUUAAUUUGUAACAUAUUAGUCCUUGUUGUACUGACAUUACAUUACUUGUUUCUAAAACUCUUGACUCUAGGUGUUACUUUUUGCAUCAAAGAUGCAAGGUUAGGUUUCACAUUUAAAUAUCUAAAACUUUUGAUAUAGAUAUGAAUAUGACAGCAAUGGAGGUGAUGAGCAGAAAACUACUUAUCUAGCAGCUACCUCGCGCAGAUCAGUGUGCUUACAGAGAGACGGAAAUGCCUGAUCUUUUGGGAUAGCAUUUGGUCUUAGGAUUUACUCACCUUGCACUAUUUUCUUUUCUUUUUUCAUAAAUUUUUUUUGAAUUUUCCCUUUUUCCUUAAUAGUGAAUCAUGUUUUCUAUACUUCAUGACUUGCAUCUCAAUGUGAAGUGACAAACCUUUUGGUUGUAAACUAUAAUAGAAUAACCAAUUUUGCCAAGGUACAUUUGAUUUGAUCAAAGGUAAGAGUGGCCUUUUGGGUUAAGGUUAAUUUGGAGAUCAUGAACAACUGGCUUUGUGAUGCUGCUCUGUUUUGGGGUGUAGUUGAGAAGUUGUGUUGUUGUUUUUUUUUUAUUUAUAAUUUAAUUUAAUUUAUUUUGUUUUAUGAUGUUGGACUUUAGUGCUCCACAUAUUUUGGUUGCUAUGUGCGCACUUCAAGCGGGAUGACUUGCUGAUAGGAAAGGUUUUCUCAUGCAUAGAGGAGUAGAUGGUCGAUUGAUUGAAGAGUUUGUUGCUAGAUGAUGUUGCUAGAUGAUGUUGCAGCUUUCGGAUUUAUGAAUUUGAGGAAUGUUAAAAUGGAGAUUUAAUUUUAGGCUGGGGUUCACUUUGUUUUUUUGUAAUGCUUAUGAUGUUGUUUGUCAGUUGGUCUGAGCCAAUCGUGUUUUCCCCCUUUUGGAUUUAAUGACUAAUAGAAGUGUUCUUUUCACCUUCGUUUUGUAAAAUGUUAUUACCUUACUGCUGGGAAAAAAAAAAAUCAUGAUAAUGAACUACUUACAAUUGCCAUGGCUAAUUCUAAUUUCAAGCUCAAAUAAUUGGUUGAAAUUCAUCUACGACUUGAUGAUUAUGCACUGACUUGGACCAUGGGCACGGGUCAUCAUGCAACGCAUGACUCCCCGUAACUAGUAUAUAUAAACCGAUGUUGAUAACAGCUUUAUGGCAACAUCCUUCAACUACUUUGUCUUGUAAAGAAAUAGGAGAAAAAGAUUGGAUACUAAACUAAUUGACCAUCAAGUAGAGGGUAUAUGGAGGUAUCCUAUCCUUUUGAUCACACAUCAUAUGAAGUGAGCUUUUAAGGGUCUAUGAAAUAAACUCGGCGACAAACUCAACAUGAAAUUGAAUUCCUAACCAGACCAAACUCAGACCUUUUGCAUUUGCUUUGAUUCUAUAUGUUACUAUUUUCCUUAGCAUAAACAAGAUGUACUUGGUAUUCUUCAAAGUCUUUGUACAGCUGAAGUUUUUAACUAAUCUGCUUACUGGCAUAGCAUUACAUGUUUCUCUUUGUAUAUCGCCAUAGCAAAUAGUAGGAGCUACUAAGUAUUAUGUAAGCAUUUUCUUUUAUGAAUUUAUUGUCAGUUUGAUAAUAAAUUGGUGAUGGAAGCUUUUUAUGUCCUCUGUGGGGUUGAUGGAAGCAAAUUAUCUGCCCUACCUAUACUGUGUUUGGAUAAUAGAUUUAAACAAUGAUUUGAAAAAGAAAAGAGAAUAUGAGGUUGGAAAAUCGUGGAUGAAAUAUAAAUUAAAAUUUUCUUUCAUUUCUCAUCUCCUUUUCAAAUCUUAACUUAAAUUUAUGAUCCAAACACAAUACUUGAAAAGGUCAGGCUAAAAUAUUUGUCAUACAUACCAUAUGUAGAUUAUAAUCAAUUUGGUAUUGGUUUUAAACUAUUGCAGUGAUAGGUUAUGGGGUAUUAUGGCGGUGGAGCAAGCAAAUUAUUGAAAUAAAAUUGAUCCGAAGUCAUGCCCAAAAAUACUUUUGAAGGUCCAAAAAAAUGGGACUAUAGCGCAUGUGCCACCACCUUGACUUAAGCACAAAGCUGCUCAUCCUUACCUGCAAAAGGCACCAAAAAAUGUUUUAGCACCAUUACAAGCUUUCAUGGCUUAUCCUUCUUCGUUUAAUUCCCUUGCACCUUGAUAUUCUCCAUGGGAUGACACUUCCAUGCUCAUACACUCUCCAUCAAGUGGAAUCAUGCUAUCCCAGGAUGAAUACAAUCUUCAUGGAGUCGAAGGCAUGCAUAAGUGUUUUUAUUUGUGUUAUUUCUCCCUUGUUCAUAGAUAUAUGUAUAUUUUUUAUUUGAGAGAACUUUCUAAUACAUAUUAUGGCAUAAAAUGUUACUGCUUCAACUGAUAUUGGAUCGAAGGGGGUAGCAAGGAUUAUCAACAGUGGCAUUCAUGGCAUCGGAAGCUUGUGUAGAACAAUAUCAAGGUCUGAAUUAUCGAAGCAAAGGAAACCAGGUUCACUGUUUCAUGGUAUACCAGAUUUUGCUGAAGUCAUGGGAAGUGUCUUUGAUCCAGACACACAAGGCCAUGUGCAGAAGCUCAAGGAGAUGGAUCCUAUCAACUUUGAAACUAGGCUUUGUUGCUGAUGAGGAACCUCACCAUCAACUUGUCUAGCCCUGAUUUUGAGCCAAUUAGAGACGUCCUGUCAUCAUGUGAUGUCAAUUCCAAAACUGUAGGAAUUGCUACAGGAAAUAUCAUGAAGAACCAAGAAAAAUGAGCUUUUGUGUUGUAGUGUUGAGCACUACUUAUAAGCUACCAUGUACAUUAUAAAUGAGAAGUCUGACAGUGCUCUCGUGGCAUGCUCUGAAAUUCACUAGUUCAAGGAUAUGGAAAUGUCGCUACAGCUGUAGAAUCAGAGAGUAUUGCCAGAUGAAAGGAUAACAUCCUCUGAUUGUCAUGCAUUAAAUGAUAUAAAUAUCCCUGGGCUGAAUGGCAAUGUAUUGUACCUGUUUUACUGAUCUGGGUCUGUUAGCAGAUUGUAUGUAUGUCUCGUAGGAUCUGUUGGUGGCAAUUUUAGCUUUCUUGAAAAUAUCAUGUCAGUCUCAGUUUUGUGUAGUAUAAUUUGCCAAGGCAACGUAGCUUUAAGAAUUGGGGUUGUAAUAAUGAUGGUUAUGCUUUCUUGAUCUUUAAGAGCAUGGUUUUGUUGUUGUUGUCGUCAUUGUUAUAUGUGAGAGCCACCUUCGACUUCUUGAUUUUC